rnacentral:rRNA from 1 species
GAUGAACGCUGGCGGCGUGCCUAAUACAUGCAAGUCGAGCGAACAGACGAGGAGCUUGCUCCUCUGACGUUAGCGGCGGACGGGUGAGUAACACGUGGAUAACCUGCCUAUAAGACUGGGAUAACUUCGGGAAACCGGAGCUAAUACCGGAUAAUAUAUUGAACCGCAUGGUUCAAUAGUGAAAGACGGUUUUGCUGUCACUUAUAGAUGGAUCCGCGCCGCAUUAGCUAGUUGGUAAGGUAACGGCUUACCAAGGCAACGAUGCGUAGCCGACCUGAGAGGGUGAUCGGCCACACUGGAACUGAGACACGGUCCAGACUCCUACGGGAGGCAGCAGUAGGGAAUCUUCCGCAAUGGGCGAAAGCCUGACGGAGCAACGCCGCGUGAGUGAUGAAGGUCUUCGGAUCGUAAAACUCUGUUAUUAGGGAUGAACAAAUGUGUAAGUAACUAUGCACGUCUUGACGGUACCUAAUCAGAAAGCCACGGCUAACUACGUG